rnacentral:rRNA from 1 species
UACGUAGGUGGCAAGCGUUGUCCGGAUUUACUGGGCGUAAAGAGCGCGCAGGCGGUCGUUCAAGUCGCGUGUGAAAGCCCCCGGCUCAACUGGGGAGGGUCACGCGAUACUGAUCGACUGGAAGGCAGGAGAGGGUAGUGGAAUUCCCGGUGUAGUGGUGAAAUGCGUAGAUAUCGGGAGGAACACCAGUGGCGAAGGCGACUACCUGGCCUGUUCUUGACGCUGAGGCGCGAAGGCGUGGGGAGCGAACGGG